GACGGAAGGUGCAAGCGUUGCUCGGAAUCACUGGGCGUAAAGGGUGCGUAGGCGGCCGUGCAAGUCUGGCGUGAAAGCCCCGGGCUCAGCCCGGGAAGUGCGCUCGAAACUGCGCGGCUCGAGUGCCGGAGGGGAGAGUGGAAUUCCUGGUGUAGCGGUGAAAUGCGUAGAUAUCGGGAGGAACACCAGUGGCGAAGGCGACUACCUGGCCCACUCUUGACGCUGAGGCGCGAAAGCUAGGGGAGCAAACGGG
rnacentral:rRNA from 1 species